rnacentral:rRNA from 1 species
GACGAACGCUGGCGGCGUGCUUAACACAUGCGAGUCGAACGGAAAGGCCUCUUUCGGGGGGUACUCGAGUGGCGAACGGGUGAGUAACACGUGAGUAACCUGCCCUUGACUUUGGGAUAACUUCAGGAAACUGGGGCUAAUACCGGAUAGGAGCUCCUGCUGCAUGGUGGGGGUUGGAAAGUUUCGGCGGUUGGGGAUGGACUCGCGGCUUAUCAGCUUGUUGGUGGGGUAGUGGCUUACCAAGGCUUUGACGGGUAGCCGGCCUGAGAGGGGGACCGGCCACAUUGGGACUGAGAUACGGCCCAGACUCCUACGGGAGGCAGCAGUGGGGAAUAUUGCACAAUGGGCGGAAGCCUGAUGCAGCAACGCCGCGUGCGGGAUGACGGCCUUCGGGUUGUAAACCGCUUUCGCCUGUGACGAAGCGUGAGUGACGGUAAUGGGUAAAGAAGCACCGGCUAACUACGUG